rnacentral:rRNA from 1 species
GAUGAACGCUAGCGGCAGGCUUAACACAUGCAAGUCGAGGGGCAGCAUAAAUAGUAGCAAUACCAUUGGUGGCGACCGGCGGACGGGUGCGUAACGCGUAUACAACCUUCCCUAAACAGGGGGAUAAGCUGGAGAAAUUCGGUCUAAUACCUCAUAACAUCAGAGCAGGCAUCUGUUUUGGUUAAGAUUUCCGGAGGUUUAGUAUGGGUAUGCGUAGCAUUAGCUAGUUGGUGAGGUAACGGCUCACCAAGGCGACGAUGCUUAGGGGGACUGAGAGGUUAACCCCCCACACUGGUACUGAGACACGGACCAGACUCCUACGGGAGGCAGCAGUGAGGAAUAUUGGUCAAUGGGCGGAAGCCUGAACCAGCCAUGCCGCGUGCAGGAUGACGGCUCUAUGAGUUGUAAACUGCUUCUGUACGAGGGUAAAGUGGGCUACGUGUAGCCUUUUGAAAGUAUCGUACGAAUAAGGAUCGGCUAACUCCGUGCCAGCCGCCGCCGUAA